rnacentral:rRNA from 1 species
UACGAAGGGGGCUAGCGUUGCUCGGAAUCACUGGGCGUAAAGGGCGCGUAGGCGGCCAUUCAAGUCGGGGGUGAAAGCCUGUGGCUCAACCACAGAAUUGCCUUCGAUACUGUUUGGCUUGAGUUUGGUAGAGGUUGGUGGAACUGCGAGUGUAGAGGUGAAAUUCGUAGAUAUUGGGAAGAACACCGGUGGCGAAGGCGGCGACCUGGUCCGACACUGACGCUGAGGCGCGAAAGCGUGGGGAGCAAACAGG